rnacentral:rRNA from 1 species
CACCAGCGCCUCGAGUGGGGGUCGCGAUUAUUGGGUCUAAAGCGUCCGUAGCAGGCUUUAUAAAUGCUUUGUGAAAUCGGCAGGCUUAACCUGUCGGCGUGCAGAGUAGACUGUAGAGCUUGAGAUCGGGAGAGGUCAGAAGUAUUCCUUGGGUACCGGUAAAAUGGGUUAAUCCAGGGAGGACUACCAAUGGCGAAGGCAUCUGACCAGAACGAUUCUGACUGUGAGGGACGAAAGCUAGGGGAGCAAAACG